GAGGGUAUAGCUCAGUGGUAGAGUGUGUGCUUAGCAUGCCCAAGGUCCUGGAUUUAAUCCCCAGUACCCCCA
rnacentral:tRNA from 1 species